rnacentral:rRNA from 1 species
UCUCCGUGUGCCGCUCCCAAUCAACCCACGUUUGCCCCAGCCUCCUAUCGCACGGAAAUGGAGUCCUGCUGGGGUCUCCUUAACUGGGGGUUCCAGCGCUUCCGCGCACAACGUGCGCUUACGGACCGUCCGUGGACGUUACUGUGAACAAAACAGCGUGUUCAAAGCAAGUGGCUUGCCUGCCCUGCAUGUUAAAGCAUGGAAUAACAAGGCAUCGACCACUCGGCGGUGCUUUUGUUGGUCUUUCCCUCCCGGUGGGAAUGCGCAGGCGUGCACACUGCCGGCCUUCUGGCCGGUCUGGGUGCCGUCUCUUCGAGAUCAAUAGGGGCAAACGGGGAGAUACCUAUUGUGGGGAGAGCGGUGAAAUGCGAUGACCCCCAUAAGAGGAACUUCAGCGAAAGCAGUUCUCAAGACUGCCUUCGUUAAUCAAGAACGAGACUGUGGGGAUCAAAGAUGAUCAGAUACCGUCGUAGUCCACUAGCGUAAACGAUGCCGACUCAUCAUUGG